GGAGGGGGCGGGGGGAUGAGGACAACAUUUCCCAUCGCUGCGUUUUAUUUCUUAGCGUCUGAAAAGGCUGUUUCCCACUUUAAUGUGAAUUACUCAUCUCUUUUAUCGGGCCGGUCGGUUGCCUGCAAAUGUGCAUCUCAGCGUUUUAUUCUGAAACGAGACAGAAAUCUGUGCAUUCCAAACUCUCCAUCGACUCCGGAAGCGAUAACGCGGCGAGCGAAGCUGAUCCGCACCUUUCCGUGCCGUUUUAAUUGUUCCAUUUCGAGCCAAGUCUCGGAGCGCGGCGCAAAUUUUCAGACAGACAAAAGAGCAACAGGAAUCGAGCUGCUCAGGACCAACAGUGAAAAAUAAACCCCACGAAGCGGUUUGAUAAGAUCUGCCUUCAGACACGAGCUGGAAACACAUGAAAUCUCGUUGGCACACACCGCCAAGACAUUUUGAUAUUUGCUACAAUGCAGUGAUUUCCUUAAAAACAACCUUCACCUGGCUUUUCCCCAAAGAAAAGCUCAUCUUAUUUUACAGGGCGAGCAGGAUUAAUGGGCAAAUCUAGGUAAAUGACAGCGUUGGAAAGAACAAACAAACCCUCUCAUACAAACAAAUAUAUUUGAAUGUAAUAAAAAUGUUGACAGCAGUUAUGUGAUUAAA